rnacentral:rRNA from 2 species
UACCCGCUGAACUUAAGCAUAUCAAUAAGCGGAGGAAAAGAAACCAACAGGGAUUGCCCUAGUAACGGCGAGUGAAGCGGCAACAGCUCAAAUUUGAAAUCUGGCGUCUUCGGCGUCCGAGUUGUAAUUUGCAGAGGGCGCUUUGGCAUUGGCAGCGGUCCAAGUUCCUUGGAACAGGACGUCACAGAGGGUGAGAAUCCCGUACGUGGUCGCUAGCCUUUACCGUGUAAAGCCCCUUCGACGAGUCGAGUUGUUUGGGAAUGCAGCUCUAAAUGGGAGGUAAAUUUCUUCUAAAGCUAAAUACUGGCCAGAGACCGAUAGCGCACAAGUAGAGUGAUCGAAAGAUGAAAAGCACUUUGGAAAGAGAGUUAAAAAGCACGUGAAAUUGUUGAAAGGGAAGCGCUUGCAGCCAGACUUGCCUGUAGUUGCUCAUCCGGGUUUCUACCCGGUGCACUCUUCUAUAGGCAGGCCAGCAUCAGUUUGGGCGGUUGGAUAAAGGUCUCUGUCAUGUACCUCUCUUCGGGGAGAACUUAUAGGGGAGACGACAUGCAACCAGCCUGGACUGAGGUCCGCGCAUCUGCUAGGAUGCUGGCGUAAUGGCUGUAAGCGGCCCGUCUUGAAACACGGACCAAGGAGUCUAACAUCUAUGCGAGUGUUUGGGUGUCAAGCCCGAGCGCGUAAUGAAAGUGAACGGAGGUGGGAACCUUUCGGGGUGCACCAUCGACCGAUCCUGAUGUCUUCGGAUGGAUUUGAGUAAGAGCAUAGCUGUUGGGACCCGAAAGAUGGUGAACUAUGCUUGAAUAGGGUGAAGCCAGAGGAAACUCUGGUGGAGGCUCGCAGCGGUUCUGACGUGCAAAUCGAUCGUCAAAUUUGGGCAUAGGGGCGAAAGACUAAUCGAACUAUCUAGUAGCUGGUUCCUGC